rnacentral:lncRNA from 1 species
CCGCUGGUCAGCGCCCGCUCCUCCCGCCCCAUCCGACCCCCCCGGCGCUUCGUGGCAGAGGGGGACGGCGGGACGGCGCAUGGGGACGCACGGACGGCGGCCGGGGACGGCGCAGAGGGGACCGGUGACAACCGGGACGGCACGAAGGGCAGCGGGGGCAAGAGGGCGGCUGCUGGGGACAAUGGGACACUGGUUGGUGACACCGGUUGGUGGCAGGGCGAAGUGUAGCGGUGACAAGCAAGCGGCUGUUGGGGACAAUGUGACACCGGUUGGUGACAGCCCAAAGAGGACCGGUGACAAGCGGGCGGCUGUUGGGGACAACGUGAUGGCAGCUGGUGACAGCCCAAAGUGCAGCGGUGACAAGCGGGCGGCUGUUGGGGACAAUGUGACGCUGCCUGGUGGCAGGGUUAAGUGGACUGGUGACAAGCGGGCGGCUGUUGGGGACAAUGUGACACCAGUUGGUGGCAGGGCUAAGUGGACCGGUGACAACCGAGCGGCUGUUGGGGACAACGUGAUGGCAGCUGGUGACAGCCCAAAGAGGACCGGUGACAAGCGGGUGGCUGUUGGGGACAGGGUGACACCGGUUGGUGGCAGGGCUAAGUGGACCGGUGACAAGCGGGCGGCUGUUGGGGACAAUGUGAUGGCAGCUGGUGACAGCCCAAAGAGGACUGGUGACAAGCGAGCGGCUGUUGGGGACAAUGUGACACCGGCUGGUGACAGCCCAAAGAGGACCGGUGACAACCGGGCAGGUGUUGGGGACAAUGUGACAGCAGCUGGUGGCGAUGCAGAGGGGACCAGUGACAAUCAGGAGGUUGUUGGGGACAGUGUGACACCAAUCAGUGGCAGUGCAAGGCGUACCGGUGACAACGGGACGGCUGUUGGGGACAAUGUGACGCCGGUUGGUGGCAGUGCAAGGCGUACGGGUGACAACGGGACAACUCUUGGGGACAGUGUGACACCAAUCGGUGGCAGUGCUAAGUGGACCGGUGACAACGGGACGGCUGUUGGGGACAAGCGGACAGCUCUCGGUGACAACGUCACCCCGACCGGUGACAGCCCGGCGUCCCUUGGUGACAACCUGCCAGGCACGGGUGACACCGCCACUCCGCUCGGUCACAAGCGGACGGCGCUCGGUGACAACGUGACGCACGGCGGGGACAGCCCGGCACACCGCACUGCCACCACCGCCACGGCUCCGGGUGACACCGUGACACCUCUGGGUGACGUCAUGAUGCCUCCGGGUGACACCAUGACAGCUCCAGGUGACACCGUGAUGCUUCCGGGUGACACCGUGACUUGGCCGGGUGACACCGUGACAGCUGCGGGUGACACUGUGACACCUCCAGGUGACGCCGUGACAACGCCGGGUGACACCGUGAGACGUCCAGGUGACGCCAUGACGCCUUCGGGUGACACCGUGACUCCUCCGAGUGACACCGUGACAUCUCCAGGUGACACCAUGACAGCUCCGGGUGACACCGUGACACUUCCAGGUGACACCGUGACACUUC